rnacentral:rRNA from 1 species
CCUACGGGUGGCAGCAGUGGGGAAUAUUACACAAUGGGGGGAACCCUGAUGCAGCAACGCCGCGUGGAUGAAGAAGGACUUCGGAUUGUAAAGUCCUUUCAGCAGGGAAGAAAAUGACGGUAUCUAACCAAUAAGCACCGGCUAACUCCGUGCCAGCAGCCGCGGUAAUACGUAGGGCGCAAGCGUUACUCGGAAUUACUGGGCGUAAAGAGAGCGUAGGCGGGAUGGCAAGUCAGAUGUGAAAGCCUAUGGCUCAACCACGGGACUGCAUUGGAAACUGUGAUGCUGGAGUGCAGGAGAGGUAGGUGGAAUUCCUGGUGUAGCGGUGAAAUGCGUAGAGAUUAGGAGGAAUACCGGUGGCGAAGGCGGCCUCCUGGACGAUAACUGACGCUGAGGCGCGAAGGCGUGGGGAGCAAACAGGAUUAGAUACCCGUGUAGUC